UACGAAGGGUGCAAGCGUUAAUCGGAAUUACUGGGCGUAAAGGGUGCGUAGGCGGUUCGUUAAGUCUGUCGUGAAAUCCCCGGGCUCAACCUGGGAAUGGCGAUGGAUACUGGCGAGCUAGAGUGUGUCAGAGGAUGGUGGAAUUCCCGGUGUAGCGGUGAAAUGCGUAGAGAUCGGGAGGAACAUCAGUGGCGAAGGCGGCCAUCUAGGACAACACUGACGCUGAAGCACGAAAGCGUGGGGAGCAAACAGG
rnacentral:rRNA from 1 species